GACGAACGCUGGCGGCGUGCUUAACACAUGCAAGUCGAACGGAAAGGCCCUGCUUUUGUGGGGUGCUCGAUUGGCGAACGGGUGAGUAACACGUGAGUAACCUGCCCUUGACUUUGGGAUAACUUCAGGAAACUGGGGCUAAUACCGGAUAUGAGCUCCUGCUGCAUGGUGGGGGUUGGAAAGUUUCGGCGGUUGGGGAUGGACUCGCGGCUUAUCAGCUUGUUGGUGGGGUAGUGGCUUACCAAGGCUUUGACGGGUAGCCUGCCUGAGAGGGGUACCGGGCACAAUGGGACUGAGAGACGGACCAGACUCGUACGGGAGGCAGCAGGGGGGAAUAUGGCACAACGGGGGGAAGCGUGAGGCAGCAACGCCGCGUGCGGGAUGACGGGCUUCGGGUUGUAAACAGCUGUCGCAGGUGACGAAGAGGGAGUGACGGUAAUGGGUAAAGAAGCACCGGCUAACUACGUG
rnacentral:rRNA from 1 species